AACGCACGAGACCUGCGGACCUGCGGAGGGAUCAUUACCGAGUUUACAACUCCCAAACCCAAUGUGAACCAUACCAAACUGUUGCCUCGGCGGGGUCACGCCCCGGGUGCGUCGCAGCCCCGGAACCAGGCGCCCGCCGGAGGGACCAACCAAACUCUUUCUGUAGUCCCCUCGCGGACGUUAUUUCUUACAGCUCUGAGCAAAAAUUCAAAAUGAAUCAAAACUUUUAGCAACGGAUCU
rnacentral:misc_RNA from 1 species